GAUGAAGAACGUAGCGAAAUGCGAUAAGUAAUGUGAAUUGCAGAAUUCAGUGAAUCAUCGAAUCUUUGAACGCACAUUGCGCCCGCCAGUAUUCUGGCGGGCAUGCCUGUUCGAGCGUCAUUUCAACCCUCAAGACCCCUUCGGGGGACUUGGUGUUGGGGACCGGCACAGGGGCCUGCCUGCUUGUCUUGCAGCGCCCUCGCCGCCCCCGAAAUGAAUUGGCGGCCUCGUCGCGGCCUCCCCUGCGUAGUAGCACAACCUCGCAACGGGAACGUGACGGCGGCCACUGCCGUAAAACAACCCCAAUUUUAUUAGAGUUGACCUCGAAUCAGGUAGGAAUACCCGCUGAACUUAAGCAUAUCAAUAAGCGGAGGA
rnacentral:misc_RNA from 1 species